AUUGAACGCUGGCGGCAUGCCUUACACAUGCAAGUCGAACGGCAGCACGGGGGCAACCCUGGUGGCGAGUGGCGAACGGGUGAGUAACAUAUCGGAACAUACCCUAGAGUGGGGGAUAACGUAGCGAAAGUUACGCUAAUACCGCAUACGAUCUAAGGAUGAAAGUGGGGGAUCUUCGGACCUCAUGCUCAUGGAGUGGCCGAUAUCUGAUUAGCUAGUUGGUGAGGUAAAGGCUCACCAAGGCGACGAUCAGUAGCUGGUUUGAGAGAACGACCAGCCACACUGGAACUGAGACACGGUCCAGACUCCUACGGGAGGCAGCAGUGGGGAAUUUUGGGACAAUGGGGGGCAACCCCUGGAUCCAGCAAUGCCGCGUGAGCGAAGAAGCCCUUUGGGGGUGUUAAAGGCU
rnacentral:rRNA from 1 species